AUGAAAUAUAGCAAUAUAUGCAAUAAGCGUUUGCGAGAGUUGUUCUGCAUGAAAGAAGGUGGAGAGCAAAUUCUAUAUGUAAGGAUUGGUCUUUUAACUUUCUGUCGUCAAAGCUUUGAGUUGUUUCAGAGUUGUAUGUGACGACAGUCUCAAUAAAAAGAGUUUUGCCUUGUUUGGAAGCAAGAAUCUAUAAGGGUGAGGCCUACAUUCAUGUAUCAUAUAUGUCUAUUUUAAGCAUGCAUGCAUUUAAACUAUUACCCGCGAAGACUACCAUAGACUAGAAUUUGUUCCUAUGCAUCAAAUGCAUGUGGUGUUGUUCAACUGUUAGUUUUCGUAACGUUAACUGGUAUUAAUUAGUUCAGGUUUCCUCCUGUAGUAACACAGGACAAAUAAGGGUUGUCCAUUUCUGGACCUCUAGGGAGAACAGUUUAGAACUGAUAGAGUUAUCCAGUAUAAAUAAAGUUAGUUUAGUUUAGGUUUCCUCCUGUAGUAACACUGGAUCAAUAAGAUCCUUAUGAUCCUUACUGGACCUCUAGGAAGAACAGUUUAGAACUGAUAGAGCUAUCCAGUAUAAAUAAAGCCGUUAGUUUAGUUUAUGAACAAAUAAAGGUUGUCCAUUUCUGGACCUCUAGGGAGAAUAGUUCAGCACUACGAAUGCAGCAGAACUAAUAGAGAUACCCAGCAAGAAUAAAUCCGGCGUACUAUAUGGCCCAGUAUAAAUCAAAUUAAUGUAACGUUUGCAUGGCUUUAGAUUCAACUCGUGCUGUAGUUGGUGAAUAUCACUGAAGAUAAAGGAGUCAGUUGAAAUGAUUUCAGAAAAGUUGUCUCUCUCGCCGUUCAAGUCACAUCUCAGCCAACAUGCUGUUCCCUCGUCAUUAUUCUGCAGUGACCAGGACUGUGGACAGAUCACUUCAUUAUUUGCUGAGUCCGAGCAUUAUUCCUGGUCAUGUGGCUUUCUUGCUUGGAUUUUGUUAGGGAUCAUAACUGUCAUGAUUGCUGGUGGAAUUUUGAUUGUUAUACGAUGUUAUCUCAAAUUUAGGUAUACAGUACAUGCGGGUGUAUAUAAAAAAACACAACC